UAAAGCUAAAUACCGGCCAGAGACCGAUAGCGCACAAGUAGAGUGAUCGAAAGAUGAAAAGCACUUUGAAAAGAGGGUUAAACAGCACGUGAAAUUGUUAAAAGGGAAGCGCUUGUGACCAGACUUGCGUCCGGUGAAUCACCCAGCUCUCGCGGCUGGGGCACUUCGCCGGCUCAGGCCAGCAUCAGCUCGCUGUCGGGGACAAAAGCUUCAGGAACGUAGCUCUCUUCGGGGAGUGUUAUAGCCUGUUGCAUAAUACCCUUCGGCGGGCUGAGGUACGCGCUCCGCAAGGAUGCUGGCAUAAUGGUCAUCAGCGACCCGUCUU
rnacentral:rRNA from 1 species